rnacentral:rRNA from 1 species
AUGAUGGCCGCCGAGUCCCCGGCGACGGUGAACCACCCCGCCGACCAACACCUCGAGACCCUCGCCCUCGAUUCUUCAUCUGCCGCAUCGGCCGCUGCUUCUACCGACCCUCUGCUCCACCCUCCUCCCUCCCCUUCGCCCCCCUCCGCUCGCGCCGCAGCCGCGAACGGCGACCCGUUCGUCGAAGAGAACGGCGAGGAUGAAUCCCCUCCGAUCCUCCCCACCCCCGACUCCCCGGUCGUUUCCCGCGAGCCGUCACCGUUGUCCUACCAGAUCACCGUUACCGACCCCAAGAAGCACGAUGAGGCCGCCACCGGAGCGGCGGGCGUCAUCCCUGGCUCCGGCAGCUACUUCUCCUACCUCGUCACCACCCGGACCGCCGACGGCAGCGAGUUCCGCGUGCGGCGGCGCUUCCGCGACGUGGUGACCCUCGCCGACCGCCUCGCGGCCACCCACCGCGGCCUCUUCGUCCCGGCGCGCCCCGACAAGAGCAUCGUGGAAGGGCAGGUCAUGCAGCGGCAUGAAUUCGUGAACCAGCGCUGCGUCGCGGUCCAGCGCUACCUCUGCCGCAUCGCCGCGCACCCCACCGUUGCCCGGAGCGAUGACUUCCGUACCUUCCUCACUGAUCCUAGCGGUAUCCCGACCUCCGAGGGCGAGUCGCCCAGGUUCAACCCCUCGAUUACUGCCGCCUCGCCGACGGCUGUUACCACACCAACGACGCCUACAAAGGGCGGGCGAGACUUUUUUGGUAUGUUCAAGGACCUGAAGCAGACGGUUGCGAAUGGGUUGAUGGCGGUGAGGCCGCCUCCAGUGGAGGAGGAGACUGACGCAAAGUUCCUCUUCCACAAGGCCAAGCUCGAGCAACUGGAGCAGCAACUCGCAGCGACAUCUCAGCAGGCAGAGGCGUUUGCUAAAGCUCAUGAGGAUUUUAGAACAACUACAGCUCACUUGGGAAUGACAUUCGUUAAGCUGGCAAAGUUUGAAAAGGACCAAUCUACAUGCAGUUCUCACAGAACUCGAGCUAUUAAUAUUAACAAUUUUGCAAAUGCUGUUGUCAAAGUCAGCAGGUCUCAGACAAAACUGGAUGCUGAAAUUGUGAAACAUCUGGACACUAUCCAUAAAUACCUGGAGACGAUGACUUCUGUUCACAAUGCAUUUACUGAUCGCUCUAAUGCUUUGCUUCAUAUCCAAAGUCUAUCAUCUGACUUAUUUGCUUUGCACAACCGGGUGGCGAAACUUGAAUCUGUGUCAUCAAGAGGAAUAGAUCAGGAGAGGACGAGGUAUCAGAAGGUUGAAGAACUGAAAGAAACAAUAAGAACAUCAGAAGACGCGAAAAGUCAUGCACGCAAAGAGUAUGAACUUAUCAAGGAAAACAACAUGAAUGAAAUUAAGAGAUUUAAUAAAGAGAUACGCCAGGAUUUGGUGGAGAUGAUGAAAGGCUUUGUAACAAGUCAGGUUGAACAGUCAGAUAAUAUUGCUAGUAUAUGGGCAAAGUUAGCAGAAGACACAAAAGGAUAUGCAGAAAGGCGCAGCUGA